AGGAUGCAGGAGUGGAGCUGCUGUCUGCUGGACUGAAGAGUCCACACUGUCACCUGGAGACUCUCAGGUCAGAACACAUCAUCUGUCCAGCUUCAGAGCUGAAAUGUGAAAGUCAGAGGUGGAGACUGCAGCUUCAGAGAGUCACAGUUUUCUCAUCACUUUGCUCCAACACUCCAGUGAGCUGUGUUGUGCUGAGUCAGCAGAGUUGGCAUCAAACAGAACAUGGUGUGAGGUUGAGAGGACCAGAGGAAGAUUCUCUGAUCAAAGUCCAACUCACUCAUGAAACAGUUGCUCUGCUGACCACCCACCUGUCUAGUAGUUAGUUUCAAGUGUGACCAUCAAGAAGAGGAAGAUUCAUCAGUAGAAGCUCCUACAUUUCUACCACAAUGAUCUUCUGAAUGGAAAGAGUUCAGUGGCUCCUCACAUCAAGUCUUUCAAGUCUUGUCACAAUAGAGGAUUGAAAAAGUCUCACUUGUUGAUGACACUCGUCUCUUUCACAGCCUGAGCUGCUGUGGACUGUCAGAGAGAAGUGGUUCCCUUCUGUCCUCAGUCCUCAGCUCUCCGUCCUCUAGUCUGACACAACUGCACCUGAGUGGGAACAAGCUGAAGGAUGCAGGAGUGGAGCUGCUGUCUGCUGGACUGAAGAGUCCACACUGUCACCUGGAGACUCUCAGUCUGAGAGGGUGUAGGAUCUCAGAGAGAGGCUGUGCUUCUCUGGCUUCAGCUCUGACCUCUAACCCCUCCCACCUGAGAGAGCUGGACCUGAGCUACAACCAUCCAGGAGGACCAGGACUGGAGCUGCUGUCUGCUGGACUGAGGAGUCCAGACUGGAGGCUGGAGACUCUCAGGCUGGACGACUGUGGACCAUGGUGGUUAAAGAUCUGACCUGAAGAAGUGUGAGUGAGUGAUUGAUCCCUGAGAACUGCUGGACUCACAAGUCUCUGGCAGAGCAGCAGACCUUCUUCUCUUUCAUU